rnacentral:rRNA from 1 species
UGGUGGAGUGAUUUGUCUGGUUAAUUCCGUUAACGAACGAGACCUUAACCUGCUAACUAGCCGCCUUGUGUACAACGGGUUGGCUUCUUAGAGGGACUAUGUGUUCAAGCACAUGGAAGUUUGAGGCAAUAACA